rnacentral:SRP_RNA from 1 species
GCUGGGCGUGGUGGCGUGCGCCUGUAAUCCCAGCUACCCAGGAGGCUGAGGCAAGAGAAUCGCUGGAACCUGGGAGACUGAGGCUGCAGUGAGCUGAGAUCUCGCCACUGCACUCCAGCCUGAGCGACACAGCAAGACUCUGUCUCAA